rnacentral:lncRNA from 1 species
AGCAUGUAAUAAGUCAAUCCCCUCAGAAGAGGUUCAGGGAAACCAUCAAAGGAUUUCACAAGACAAAGUUGCCAAAAGAAUGAUCCAAAUAAUAACUGCUUCAGGAGCUUCAGGGAAAGGAACCAGAUUUGAGGCUGCUGAGAGAGAGGGAUGGCAGCUGAGCCUGGGGGACGGUGCGAGACAAGGCAGAAAUGGGGGGGGGAGGGAACAGAAUAGGUUGGGGGUUUGGAGGUUCUGGAAACAUCUGUGUCAUAUGAAUUGUUUACAAAGCACUUCAAACCUGUUUCUCCUUUUAAUCUUGACUUUCACAAAUAUCUGUGGGAGGGACUAUUUUCCCAUUCAAGGCUCAGAGUUAGCUGUGACUUGCCCACAAUCUGCUACAAAAUGGCAGGGCCCGGGCUUGAGCUGGGGCUGAGUGGGUGGAAGAGCCACAAUGCACAUUAAAGCACCUGGGCUGGGAGGCAGCCAUUCUUCAAGACUGAAACUGUGGCCUGAAAACAGGUGAUCCCAGCUUGGUGAUCCCAGCUCUGCCCAGAGCAUGUGAAAAAGGCGGAGCUGCUUCUGAGCCUCAGUCUCCCUGCUUGCUCUCCUCUCAGGGUGGUGGUGAACUUUAAAAUUCUGUGAAAGUGAUCUCAACUCCAGAGCAGUGGGCACAGGGAGAGCUGUUGCCACGGCAGCCCUCUGCAUACCUGCCCAAACUCAGGUCAGCUCCCUACGGAAGGGGUGGGAGGGCUUCCAUCAGACCUGGGAUAUGUAGAUAAUCAUCCCUCUGCAUCCUCUUCCCUCAUGGACCCUGGGGCAGCUGGGGAAGGACCCUGGAUAAGUCGGUUCCCAUGCAGCCUGAAUGUGGUGACCAAGAGAGCGGUGGUCCUGUGACAGCCAACCUCCUCCAGGGAACCCGUUUUACAUAAUAUCAAGUGGGAAGAUAAGAUGCGGAUUCCUCCACUGGGAAACACUGAUGGCGUUUGUUGAGUCUCAGAGACGUGGAGGCUAAGGUCACCUCAGUGUACUCAGGACUUAGGGAAGGAGUGGGGUAUGAGGAAUCUUUCACCAAAUACCACGGAAAGCAUCUACUCAAUGCCAUUAGUUUGUAUAUGGGGAAACUGAGGCUCAUAAAGAAAAAGUGACAAGUCCAAUCAGUCCUUAUCAGAAGUGAAUACACCUCUCCUGGAUCCAGAUUUAGUGUGAGUGUUCAAAGGGCACUGGACACCUGGGCACACUGCACACGCUUGUAAUCCAGCUACUCAUGAGGCUGAGGCAGGAGGAUGGCAAGUUUGAGGCCAGCGUGGGCAACUUAGUCUCAAAAAUAAAAAGAGCUGGGGAUGUGCGCAGCGGUAAAGGAGGAAGGGAAGGGCGGGGGAAACCGAGGCGCCAACGGCGGCAGGGGUGCUCGCGGCCAGGAUCUAGAUCUUCCUCCAACUCCUUGUGGCUCUGGACAAAAUGACUUCCUUUCUCUGGUACUUCGUUUCCUUGUCUGCCAAGCUGGCUGGGGCUGGGACCUCCAGGGGCCCUUCCGUCUCUGGUACCGUCACUCUAGUCGACAAGUCAUGGGCUUUUCCUAGGACGACACGGUGACGACGUGAAAGGCAAGGUCUCCGAGUGUGUGGUCCACUGAACUCGGCCGGAGGUAACUCCGGACCAGGGAUGCUUCCGUUGCCAUGGCAACCGCCAGGGCCGGCGUGGUCCCCAGCGUGCCGCGGAGGAAGCCGGGAGGACCUGCCCUCCGGUGAUGGCGGCGUCCGCGCGAGGGACGGGGCCCGGCGCUGUCGGCCGGUGAAGGCGUCUCCGUUGUUUCCGCUUUUCCAUACAAAGGCGAGCUCCCUCCAGCGCUUUUCUCUGCCCCGGUCCUGAGAGCCGGGGAGCGGGAAGCGAAGGGCGGACGGCAGCCACCGGGGCACGUACCCGGGGGAAGGCGGGACUUCCGCGUCUCGCCGGAAGUGACGCGACAGUUGCGGCCGCCGCCAGGUGGAACGACAGGUGGGUUCAGGUGCCAGCCCGGCCCCGACCCUACUGUGGGACCGAGUCUCCCGUGAGCGACAGAGGCAGCUCCCAAGGGCCUGGAGACCCGUGGGGCUGGCUCUGGGAUCCGAGCCCGCCGCCCUGGCCUGGAGUCCGUCCCUGUACCUAGUAAGAGCCGCCGCCCACCCCGCACGCCGCGC